AUUGAACGCUGGCGGCAUGCCUUACACAUGCAAGUCGAACGGCAGCACGGACUUCGGUCUGGUGGCGAGUGGCGAACGGGUGAGUAAUGUAUCGGAACGUACCUUUCAGUGGGGGAUAACGUAGCGAAAGUUACGCUAAUACCGCAUAUUCUGUGAGCAGGAAAGCAGGGGAUCGGAAGACCUUGCGCUGAUUGAGCGGCCGAUAUCAGAUUAGCUAGUUGGUGGGGUAAAGGCCUACCAAGGCGACGAUCUGUAGCGGGUCUGAGAGGAUGAUCCGCCACACUGGAACUGAGACACGGUCCAGACUCCUACGGGAGGCAGCAGUGGGGAAUUUUGGACAAUGGGGGCAACCCUGAUCCAGCCAUGCCGCGUGAGUGAAGAAGGCCUUCGGGUUGUAAAGCUCUUUCGGCCGGGAAGAAAUCGCAUAGGCUAAUACCCUGUGUGGAUGACGGUACCGGAAUAAGAAGCACCGGCUAACUACGUG
rnacentral:rRNA from 1 species